rnacentral:tRNA from 1 species
GUGGGUGUAGCUCAGUCGGUUAGAGCGCCAGGUUGUGGCCCUGGAGGUCACCGGUUCGAAACCGGUCAUUCACC